rnacentral:rRNA from 1 species
GUAGGGUGCGAGCGUUAAUCGGAGUUACUGGGCGUAAAGGGUGCGCAGGCGGUUGAGUAAGACAGAUGUGAAAUCCCCGAGCUUAACUCGGGAAUGGCAUAUGUGACUGCUCGACUAGAGUGUGUCAGAGGGAGGUGGAAUUCCACGUGUAGCAGUGAAAUGCGUAGAUAUGUGGAAGAACACCGAUGGCGAAGGCAGCCUCCUGGGACAUAACUGACGCUCAGGCACGAAAGCGUGGGGAGCAAGCAGGAUUAGAUACCCUGGUAGUCCACGCCCUAAACGAUGUUAACUAGUUGUUGGGAUGUAACAAUCUCAGUAACGCAGCCAACGCGAGAAGUUAACCGCCUGGGAAGU